AACGCGUAUCCAACCUUCCGUACACUCAGGGAUAGCCUUUCGAAAGAAAGAUUAAUACCUGAUGGUAUGAUGAGAUUGCAUGAUAGCAUCAUUAAAGAUUUAUCGGUGUACGAUGGGGAUGCGUUCCAUUAGGUAGUAGGCGGGGUAACGGCCCACCUAGCCAACGAUGGAUAGGGGUUCUGAGAGGAAGGUCCCCCACAUUGGAACUGAGACACGGUCCAAACUCCUACGGGAGGCAGCAGUGAGGAAUAUUGGUCAAUGGACGAGAGUCUGAACCAGCCAAGUAGCGUGAAGGAUGAAGGUCCUACGGAUUGUAAACUUCUUUUAUAAGGGAAUAAACCCUCCCACGUGUGGGAGCUUGUAUGUACCUUAUGAAUAAGCAUCGGCUAACUCCGUGCCAGCAGCCGCGGUAAUACGGAGGAUGCGAGCGUUAUCCGGAUUUAUUGGGUUUAAAGGGAGCGCAGACGGGUCGUUAAGUCAGCUGUGAAAGUUUGGGGCUCAACCUUAAAAUUGCAGUUGAUACUGGCGUCCUUGAGUGCGGUUGAGGUGUGCGGAAUUCGUGGUGUAGCGGUGAAAUGCUUAGAUAUCACGAAGAACUCCGAUUGCGAAGGCAGCACACUAAUC
rnacentral:rRNA from 1 species